rnacentral:rRNA from 1 species
CGGGAGGCAGCAGUGGGGAAUAUUGGACAAUGGGCGAAAGCCUGAUCCAGCCAUGCCGCGUGUGUGAAGAAGGCCUUCGGGUUGUAAAGCACUUUCAGUCGUGAGGAAAGGGAUACGGUUAAUACCCGUGUUCUGUGACGUUAGCGACAGAAGAAGCACCGGCUAACUCCGUGCCAGCAGCCGCGGUAAUACGGAGGGUGCAAGCGUUGUCCGGAUUUAUUGGGUUUAAAGGGUGCGUAGGUGGGCCUUUAAGUCAGUGGUGAAAGCCUACAGCUUAACUGUAGAAAUGCCAUUGAUACUGGAGGUCUUGAGUAUAGAUAAGGUAGGCGGAAUUGAUGAUGUAGCGGUGAAAUGCAUAGAUAUCAUCAGGAACUCCGAUUGCGAAGGCAGCUUACUGGUCUAUAACUGACGCUGAGGCACGAAAGCGUGGGGAGCGAACAGGAUUAGAUACCCUGGUAGUCCACGCCGUAAACGAUGAUAACUCGGUGCUGGCGAUAUACGGUCAGUGCCCAAGCGAAAGUGAUAAGUUAUCCACCUGGGGAGUACGAUCGCAAGGUUGAAACUCAAAGGAAUUGACGGGGGCCCGCACAAGC